GCCGCCGUAGUAUAGCCCGGUCUAGUAUGCGGGCCUGUCGAGCCCGUGACCCGGGUUCAAAUCCCGGCGGCGGCG
rfam:Thermogladius cellulolyticus 1633, complete genome.